rnacentral:rRNA from 1 species
AUGAACGCUGGCGGCGUGCCUAAUACCUGCAAGUCGAGCGAACGGACGAGAAGCUUGCUUCUCUGAUGUUAGCGGCGGACGGGUGAGUAACACGUGGAUAACCUACCUAUAAGACUGGGAUAACUUCGGGAAACCGGAGCUAAUACCGGAUAAUAUUUUGAACCGCAUGGUUCAAAAGUGAAAGACGGUCUUGCCGUCACUUAUGGAUGGAUCCGCGCUGCAUUAGCUAGUUGGUAAGGUAACGGCUUACCAAGGCAACGAUGCAUAGCCGACCUGAGAGGGUGAUCGGCCACACUGGAACUGAGACACGGUCCAGACUCCUACGGGAGGCAGCAGUAGGGAAUCUUCCGCAAUGGGCGAAAGCCUGACGGAGCAACGCCGCGUGAGUGAUGAAGGUCUUCGGAUCGUAAAACUCUGUUAUUAGGGAAGAACAUAUGUGUAAGUAACUGUGCACAUCUUGACGGUACCUAAUCAGAAAGCCACGGCUAACUACGUG